UACGGGAGGCAGCAGUGGGGAAUAUUGCACAAUGGGCGGAAGCCUGAUGCAGCAACGCCGCGUGCGGGAUGACGGCCUUCGGGUUGUAAACCGCUUUCGCCUGUGACGAAGCGUGAGUGACGGUACUGGNUAAAGAAGCACCGGCUAACUACGUGCCAGCAGCCGCGGUNAUACGUAGGGUGCGAGCGUUGUCCGGAUUUAUUGGGCGUAAAGGGCUCGUAGGUGGUUGGUCGCGUCNGCAGUGUAAUCUNNGCGCUUAACCCUGAGCGUGCNNUCGGUACGGGCUGACUUGAGUACGGUAGGGGAGUAUGGAAUUCCUGGUGGAGCGGUGNAAUGCGCAGAUAUCAGGAGGAACACCAGUGGCGAAGGCGGUUCUCUGGGCNUUUNCUGACACUGAGGAGCGAAAGCGUGGGGAGCGAACAGGCUUAGAUACCCUGGUAGUCCANGCUGUAAACGGUGGGNACUAGGUGUGGGGUACAUUCCACGGNNUCCGNGCCGUAGCUAACGCUUUAAGUNCCCCGCCUGGGGAGUACGGNCGCAAGGCUAAAACUCAAAGGAAUU
rnacentral:rRNA from 1 species